rnacentral:rRNA from 1 species
AUUGAACGCUGGCGGCAGGCCUAACACAUGCAAGUCGAGCGAGCGGCGGACGGGUGAGUAAUGUCUGGGAAACCGCCCGAUGGAGGGGGAAAACCAUUGGAAACGGUAGCUAAUACCGCAUAUCACCAGCUGUGCCCAGAUGGGAUUAGCUAGUAGGUGGGGUAACGGCUCACCUAGGCGACGAUCCCUAGCUGGCCUGAGAGGAUGACCAGCCACACUGGAACUGAGACACGGUCCAGACUCCUACGGGAGGCAGCAGUGGGGAAUAUUGCGCAAUGGGCGCAAGCCUGAUGCAGCCAUGCCGCGUGUGUGAAGAAGGCCUUCGGGUUGUAAAGCACUUUCAGCGGGGAGGCGUUACCCAAAGAGGAAGCACCGGCUAACUCCGUGCCAGCAGCCGCGGUAAUUC